rnacentral:lncRNA from 1 species
UUAGUCUCCUCUACAUGUCUCUAUGUGGUUUGACAUUUUCUUCAUGGUACAUGUGGUGCAUGCAGAUGGAGGGAUCAAUACCUUUCAAAUUGGCAAUUGAUCACUCUAUGGCUUUCUUGUUCUCUUUUAGAAUCCCUAUGAGCCAUAUUUUUUGAUCAGGGGUCAAGUCUGAGGCAAUGAUCACUGGAAGGGUAUCAUUAGGUCUUAGGAAAACAUACUUGAG